ACCCCUGUGUUUUGGGGCACCUGUGCUCACCAAAAAUUACCAAGAGAACCACUCUAAUCUUGAAUAGCCUGUACAACUUGGUGUUCUUCUGCUUUUGCAAACCUUGGCAGCUCAAGUCUUCCAGCACACUCUGCGACUGCCGCUCCUCCCCUGGGGAGCGAGCCCUGCCACUGUCACCUGCAGGUCUCCUGUGGGGCCACCAGCUCCCCGGCCACCAGCUCUGCUCCAGAGACAGCUGCAGGAGUGCUGGAACAAGAGGGACCCCAGUGCCACCAGCCCUGCUCCAGAAGGACCUGCAGGAGUGCUGGAACAAGAAGGGACCCCCAGAGCCACACGGGGAUCACUCCCAUCACCAGCUGUCCCCAGGUAGCAAGGGUGGCCUGGUGACCCCAAGGACAGGCCAGCCGCGGGCUCAGGGCACCGUCCCCAGGAGCAGUGACCUCAAGGGGACCCUGGAGCCGUGGGAUGCACGGCGCUCUGCCAAGGGAAUCCAACCCAGCACCGAAAUUCCCUCCGGGAGAGGAUGCGAAGGGCAGCAAGCGACCUCUGCUGAGGAGGGACCGGAGCAGCACACGGCGGGGGACAGGCCAGGGGCACCCCGGACAAAAGGCGCUGGUUCCGAGGCACCGGGACACGCCACAGGCACAUUGCCCAGGGCACUGCACGGCUCCAGGGCUGUGCCAGCCGGGGACACCCCGGGGCACACCGGCAGCUGCUCUGGCCACUCCUGGGUCCGAGCCGCGCUCGCACGGCUCCGGGCUGUCCCCGGGCAGGAGCUGGCACCUGGGCAUCAUCUCGCUGUCCCCAUAGGCAGAGUGAUGCCUGCUGCCCAGUCAGAGGCUGUGCUGGUGCCGAGUGUCGCUGCAGAGCGCUGCCCGUCCCCUCGCCGUGUGUGACACGCUGCUCCUGCUCAUUCAAAGGAACCUUUCUCUGCCCGUCCUCCCCUUGGGGCUGCUCCCUUUCUGACGCCAGCCACCCUUGCACGGUCCCAGGCGGUUCUCCCAGACCAUGCCCAGCAGUACAAAGGUGUAAAUGCGAGAUGCUGCAGUUACCAGCGGCUCCAGACACGCCACAGCCACAUCCACGCGAAAAAACCAAAAAAAAUCCCAAACAAAACCCCCACACCGCAAGAACCCUAAAGCGCUGAGGUUCAGCCCUUGUGAGUAUAUAAACACACAGAAAACUUGUCAAGGAGAGCAGUUGCAGCCCCUGGAAGGGGUCAGGGCUCUCCGUGUGACUCCACACACAGACUGAGCCUCCAAAGGGAGCUGCACAUUCACGCACCCCCGGCUCCGGAAUGGGGUGGAUGCGGC
rnacentral:lncRNA from 1 species